rnacentral:lncRNA from 1 species
GAUUAUAAGGAGGCAACAACUCACCUCAUCGCCAAAAAAAGCUUUAGCGAGUGAAAAGUUUAUUGCAGCCUGUGCUUGAGGGAAGUGGAUAGUCACUCCAGAGUUUGUUCUGCUCCCAGAGGCUUCAUAUGAAUUAAACUUAACAGCUCAGAUUCCUGAAACACCCAAUCCACUGAAAACAUGGAGAGAGAGAGAGAGAGGGUGUCUAAUGGCACUGUGUCUGGAGCUUUUCAGGUGAACGUCACUAUAUUGUUAACUCGCUUAGAAAACGGCUGAAAGAAAUUAAACAUGUUUCAUUUCCCAUCUCCACCUGUAGGACUGGGUAGUGCUCAUUGACAUUGAUGAUCCAGCGAGGAGAAGUGUGUAUGUCAGGUCAGGAUGUGCACAGUGACAAUUUUGUACAACAUGCCUUCAGAAAUGUCGUUGAUGUAGUUGGAGGUUCAUGGUGAAACUGCUAAUGGGAAUUCUUACAAACCACAUUUUGUUUGCAGGAUAUUAAAAGCAGGCAGAGCUGUUGUCAUCACAGACUGGUCGACUUCAAAUGAUGUAACUCACGUGAUAACCACAAAUACAUCCAAAGAUAAAGGCGAGAAGUGCAGAAUCCCUCACUAUAGUGUCAGCUAUGUAGCCAAACAUCUUUUUGGGCAUGUUUGCUCAGUUAAACUGGUCCUGUAAUUUGGAGUCCUUCGAUGAACAAGAGAGCUGUGAAAUGGCCAUCGAUGUUGCUGUAAUCAUUGAGUCUAUGGAUGUUACUGAUGACAUUUCACAAGAAGAAUUGGAGGAAAUGCUCAAAGAAUACAUCAUAAUAAUGGAGCAACGGAAGAAAAUGCUUUUGACAGUCCCAGAGUUCUACAGCUACUGCACACCCAACCUGCCAGUUCAGAUUCAGCAAUGUGCAGAGCUUGGUAGAGUGUGCUUCUUCCCUCAAGCUCUGGAGGAGAUUCUGGGGUCCCUGCAGCCUGGAGUGAUGCCCCCAGUCACACACUGCAUGUUGAUGCAAAGCCAUUGUACCUCAGCAUGUUUAUCACAGUUCUCCACAGUAUCCUGCACAGCAAUCCUACCUGGGGUUCUCCUGGACACACAAAGUACUUUCUCCAGAUCCUGCAGUGUCCAGAAUAGUGUGUCUAGCAAGCGAACCCACCUGUCACUCACUGCCAAGCCCACCAUCCACUGAGUUGUUUUGUCUCCAUUGUAACCUGCAGGAGUCCUUCCUGAGACUAUUUCAGCGGGAGCUUCAUGCUGCUAGCUCAGGGUGAGCACCUGAGCUCUGUUCAUCACUGCUUCAAUAAAAAAACUACUUUUU